rnacentral:rRNA from 1 species
UGGGGAAUAUUGGACAAUGGGCGAAAGCCUGAUCCAGCCAUACCGCGUGUGUGAAGAAGGUCUUCGGAUUGUAAAGCACUUUAAGUUGGGAGGAAGGGCAUUAACCUAAUACGUUAGUGUUUUGACGUUACCGACAGAAUAAGCACCGGCUAACUCUGUGCCAGCAGCCGCGGUAAUACAGAGGGUGCAAGCGUUAAUCGGAAUUACUGGGCGUAAAGCGCGCGUAGGUGGUUUGUUAAAUUGGAUGUGAAAUCCCCGGGCUCAACCUGGGAACUGCAUUCAAAACUGACUGACUAGAGUAUGGUAGAGGGUGGUGGAAUUUCCUGUGUAGCGGUGAAAUGCGUAGAUAUAGGAAGGAACACCAGUGGCGAAGGCGACCACCUGGACUAAUACUGACACUGAGGUGCGAAAGCGUGGGGAGCAAACA